GGAGAGAAGCCCAAGGCGUCCUGGCCAACAUACCAAGCUGUAUCAUCCCUCCGGAAGUAUAGGACGUCCUGAUCUGAUUCGACCUGAUUUGUAUCCAAAGUUAUAGGACCACCCAAUAACCAGGCCCCACCUGCACUGAUACCAUUCAACAACUUUUUUUUUUACGUGAUCUUUCCUUUGUCUUGUAAAGAAAUAACUCACAUACCUAUGCCUUAUAAAUGUAGCCCUACCCUCAACACAUUGCAGCUCUUCACUGCCCAGGGGUCCUGACCCCAUGCUAUUCUCUGAAUAAAAGAGCAUACUACCAGACCAUGAGAGUCCAAGGAAUCUUUCUUUUGACUCCUCGGCUCGCCAAGCCCACAUCAGGCCAGUUGGUAGCAGAAGAGCACAGUGACCUAGGAAGCAAUAUCUUGAAGAUAAGGGAGCCACAAGAGAGAAGGAGCCUGGAUCCCUGAAUCACCACUUGAACAAGAGCCACUUAUAAAUCACAGACAUCAGUUUUGGAUUUAUGUGUGAGAUGAGUUUUACUGUAUUAAGAUGCUAAGAUUUUGCGAUUCAUCAAAUAUACUAGGCAAAGAAACACAGUGACUUGGAAGUCAUUUUUUAAAAUGGCAGAGCCACAAACCAAAGAGAGACUGGGUCUCUAAGUAUCACUUAAAGAAGAACCACUCGCCGAUGUGGAACACUCAUAUUGAACUUCACGUGAAUGAUGAAUAACCUUUGAGAUGCAUUUACAGUGAAGACAUUUUGUGAGCAUCUUCAUGCUGUGUGAUUCCUAGAUAAAGAACUGGAUGAAAAUCUGCAUCAAAAAAUACAGGGGAAAUGGACCUCUCUGAAGCCAUUCCCAGGUGACACAAUGGUCCAGACAUCCAUCCUCCUCUAGAUACUCAAAUGUUCCUCAUCAAGCUCAGUGAUACUUAUAAAAAGUCAUUUCUGGAAAACCUGAAAGUGAACAUGUGGAAUUUGCUGCAAGCUGAAAUCAUAGAGGGAACGUGCUUGUUUUCCCUCUUAAAGGAGGACCUACUUGAUAAACUCAAGGUUAUGACUUUUGUCCAGGUUUUUUGUGCCAUGAAUCGAUGUGGUGUAGACCUUGUUAUAUGAUCUGUGUAUACUCUUCCCAGCAAUGGAGAAGAAAAGAAAUGGAUGUCUUUCAGCAAACUUGUCAAAAGAGAAGACUGGAGAUUUCACUAGGACAUGAUGACAUUAUUGAUAUUAGGACUGGUGCUGCUAAUAUUUAGAGAGAAUCUUGACUAUCUGAAAGUGGUUGGGUUGAGAUUCUGCUACAGCUAAUGACUAAAUAUUUUCAACAUAAAAAUAAAUAUAAGGAGAUACUUUUAGUAAAUACGCAUUGCAUCUGCUUAACCUUUACAUUGCACAUGGAAAAAUGAAAGCGUGGUAACGAUCAUUUUAAAAGGCUUCCAAGCUAAUUAACUAAGAGCGUUUUGGCUUUACUUUUGGGUAUAUUUUUAAGUAACCAGUAACAAAAACAAAAUGAUUAUUCCUUUAGGUUGUGACUAUCUAUCAGAAAAUAAGGAAUAAGUUUAUGAGUAAGUGUGAGUACAUGAUGGAAUAUUAGUAGCCAUUAGAAGCACCUAACAGAUAAUGGAAAUCUACAUAUUAUUUCAUGAUAUAAUACUAAGACACAGAAGCAGGAUAUGAAAUGUUGUCAGUGCUACGUAACAUCUUCGUAUGGAUUCAUAUGGACAAGGACUGGACAGGAAGGUUGAAAAGUGAAAGAGCUGAUGUUAUAGGGAAGUAUUUCCUUUACUGUUAUAUCCAUGUACAAUAACUUACAAUCGGAACAAAAUCCAUACAAUUAAAAAACAUAGAGUGUGUAGGGGCUGCCCUGGUGGUGUAGUGGUUAAGUUCAUGUGCUCUGCUUCCGCAGCCCAGAAUUUGCAGGUUUGGAUCCCCAGUGUGGACCUACACACCGCCCAUCAAGCCAUCCUGUGGCAGCAUCCCAC
rnacentral:lncRNA from 1 species